rnacentral:lncRNA from 10 species
GAAACUGAGGCACAGAGCAGUUAAGGAACAUUCCCAAGGUGACACAGCUUGCAAGCCGUAGAGCUGGGAUUUGAAUCCAAGUCUGUGAUUUUGGAGCCUGUGUGUUAUUUCCCUGGUUGUUCAAGAUUCCUUCUUCCCAGGAACCUAGGACUUAGCCAAUCUCUCCUCCAGGGAAAACAUGAGGACAUUAAAACAUUUUAUUGUUCUUGAAAAAAAAAAAAACCUUAGGAAAUUUUAAUAGAAUGACUAAUGGACAACUGUCUUUCCCCCAAGUAGCUGAGACCUUAAGAAGCUGAGAGGAAGAAAAGAUUAUCCUAGCCGCCUCUGAGAUGCUGAGCUCCUGGGAGUGGGGUCUAAGUCAGGGUCAAGUUUGUAUCCUGGGUACUGAAAACAGAGCCUGGCACAGAGUCUGGAACCAUCUGAUGGAUAAUGAGUAAAUUAGGGAGGGAGGAGCUCUGGAGGAGACAGGAAGAUGAGGAACUGGGCUAGAAGUUUCUAGCCCAGAAAGGGGCAAGCAGGAGUGCUGACCACAUGCAGGAGGGCAGCGGGGAUCCUCCCUGCCACGCCCUGUCCAUGCUUCAGCUCUCCAUGUUUGCGUCACAUCACCAGGAAGGGCCCAGGGAUGCAGGAGCAAGGGUUGAUGCUUGGCAUUGAGAACACAUCUCAGGGACUGGAGGCUUGGGUUGAUUCAAGGGAGAGGCUGCAAAAUCUCCUUCCUUAGACAAGAGGCUGGGUCAAAUUAUUGAUCUCUGGGUUUCAGUAUUACUCAGGGCCGCCCACUGAGUAAUACCUAGUGCCCCCAAGGGGCACUGAGAGAAGUAAAAAGAAGCAGGAAGAAGGAAGAGGAGAAAACAAGGGAGGAAGCGGGAGUGGCCACGUGGCACCUGCAAUCUCAUCAGAGCUGCCCUUGGCCCCACCCGUCCUGUCUAGGAGAAUUGGCACACACUCCCUGGAGUCUGGGCACUGACCAUCAGCAAUGAUGCCAGCCACCGGGCCUCCACAGCUAGGGCGGGAGCAGGGCCCUGGUGCCCAAUGAUGCUUUUAGUUGGCAGAUGGUGGGAGGUUCUGAGGGUCCGGAAGAGGGGCUGAGUCAUCACUCAGGGGGCACUUGGUGGGGUGGGGGAUAGUGACUUUUGCCCAACCCCCAGGUGUCAACUGGCUGCCUGUCAGACAAUGCUUUUAGGUGACCAGAAGGCAAGGAUUUCCCAGUCCCUGGAAACCAGAUGCCCAUCCUCCAUGCAAACAAGUGAGGUGGAGUGUCCGUGCCAGUGCCCACACCUGCCCGGAGGCAGCUGCUCAGCCCUUCUCCUCCCCUCAAGCACUAAUUGUCUGAGUUACGACCCUACUUUGGUGUCUGGCUGCCUACAAGCAAAGUGAGGAGGUCUCCUUCGGUAGAACUGGUGCUGAGCUGAGAAUGGAGCCCUGGCCCGCCCCUUACUUCCAGAGCCUUGGGAGACAUCAUCAACCUCAGCAUCAGCUUCCUCCUCUGGAAAGCAGCCACCCUCUUAAGUAACUGCAAACCAUGCCGGCAAACUGCAAAGUGCUUAAGGCCAGGCAUGAGGACAGGUCAGGAGGCAGGGUUUCGGGCCUGGCAUUCUCAGAGUGGUCUCGGGAAGAACAAACCUGGACACCGAACUGGACAACAGCAGGACUCUGAGCACUUUGGGAGCUGUGUAUGAUGUGUUGCGGGGGUGGGUUGUGUCCAGAUCAAAGGUGGGGAGGCGGUCUAGGCAGCAGCAGGAGGUGUAUUCGAGGUCUGCAGCAAUUCUUGCAGAGCCUGAAUUACAGUGAGGCCCACACCCUCGUCCUGCUGCCCUGGCCUUGGCCAUCUCCCAUGUCAACCUCAUCUUGAUCUUGCCUACCUCCCUCCCCAGAAGCCAGGGGGCCAUUUGGCAUCAGGAACACAGGGAUUAGCUGCACGGCCAGACCCCAGACCCCCGCCCAGGGGUCCCUCUUUGCUCUCCUGGCCAGCCCCACCCCACAGGCACCAACUUGGGCCAAUGCCAGGCCACAGGUCAGACUCCCAGGCCUGGGACUCCUCUGCCCACCCACAACAACCACUGAUGCUCCUCAGCAAGAGCCAACUUCUGGCUCUGAACGCAGCAGCACCCAGGAUACAGCAAGGUGAAUGCUAGGCACUCGUCCCACAGCCUGGGGUGUAGGGGAGGUCAGAGAUACACACAAAUCAAACUCUCUCCUCACUAUAUAUAUAUAUAUAUAUAUAUAUAUAUACACACACACACACACACACACACACACACACACAUACACACAAGCACACCCCACCCACACUCAUUAGGCCUGGAGGGGGGACUUCAGUUCUCCAUCUUUGGCAUCAAUCUAUCAAAGUCAGCUUUUCUGUACGAGACUGCUCGCUCCUUUCUGUACAUGAAUUAAAUAUAUUAUCUGUCUCUGCACUGAGUCACACGACGUUCACAGUACCGUGGGGAGGAGUGGAGGGUGGGGGCCUGAGGUGGGCAGGGCAGGGGGCCUGGGUAGAAAGGCGAG